GAAGGGGGCUAGCGUUGCUCGGAAUCACUGGGCGUAAAGGGUGCGUAGGCGGGUCUUUAAGUCAGGGGUGAAAUCCUGGAGCUCAACUCAGAACUGCCUUUGAUACUGAAGAUCUUGAGUUCGGGAGAGGUGAGUGGAACUGCGAGUGUAGAGGUGAAAUUCGUAGAUAUUCGCAAGAACACCAGUGGCGAAGGCGGCUCACUGGCCCGAUACUGACGCUGAGGCACGAAAGCGUGGGGAGUAAACAGGAUUAGAUACCCUGGUAGUCCACGCCGUAAACGAUGAAUGCCAGCCGUUAGUGGGUUUACUCACUAGUGGCGCAGCUAACGCUUUAAGCAUUCCGCCUGGGGAGUACGGUCGCAAGAUUA
rnacentral:rRNA from 1 species